GUUUUGUUUCUAUUCUGUAUGCUGUCUGGUCCUGUGACCGUCAGGUUGCCUGUGGGUGAUCACUUUGUAGUCUGUUUGGGUAUUGACAGAAUCUGAUUGCAACUAAUUAUUUUCCUGAUUUUACUCUAGCCUUGGGGAGUUAGCAGUGCUGUUUUGUUGGCAACGACCACUCUCCUGGUUCUAGAAAAACUGGAAAUAACCUGUGGUUAUGCUUCCCUGUGAUCAGCCACUUCCUGACCCAGCCCCUGACCAGGAAGGAGAGCUUCCUACCAACAAGCUAAUCAGGAACAUCAGGUCUGAUGCAUGCGUUCACCGACAGAUGGUUUUCCCUGGAUGUUUGCAAAUACACGGGGUUUUUCUCGCCUCACUAUGAACACCAAAAGGAACUCGGAAUCGCUCUCUUUCAUUAUGUGUCUCCGAGCCAAUGAGCUCUGUACUGCCUAGACUGGCAGUGCUUCCUAUCAGACAGCUCUGUCUCUAGCCACCGCCACCGUUGGAAACGUAUCCCCAAGGCUAUUGUGUUCAACCUUUACUUAAAGAUCAUUUUCUAUGAGGCAUCCAAUUUCUGCUGCUCCCUGGGGCUGCGGUUUUAAGACAGGCUUCCCAGUAUUUACUGUUUAUAGUUUUGAGCUGACAGCUAUUUAAGGGCAAGAGAUUUCAGCUGCCACCACCUCCAACAGCUCUCGCCACCAAUGCAUUUGCCAGACGGUACCAGUUGGAACUUUGUGAAACCAAGGAAAACAGGUUUCAUAUGGUAGAGGAGAAAGAGUUUAAGAUGUGGAGCUAUUUUUCUGAUAC
rnacentral:lncRNA from 1 species